rnacentral:rRNA from 1 species
CCUACGGGAGGCAGCAGUGGGGGAUAUUGGACAAUGGGGGAAACCCUGAUCCAGCGACGCCGCGUGAGUGAAGAAGUAUUUCGGUAUGUAAAGCUCUAUCAGCAGGGAAGAAAGAAAUGACGGUACCCGAGUAAGAAGCCCCGGCGAACUACGCGCCAGCAGCCGCGGUAAUACGAAGGGGGCAAGCGUUAUCCGGAAUUACUGGGUGUAAAGGGAGCGUAGACGGCAAUGCAAGUCAGGAGUGAAAGGCGGGGGCCCAACCCCGGGACUGCUUUGGAAACUGUGUAACUGGAGGGCAGGAGAGGCAGGCGGAAUUCCUAGUGUAGCGGUGAAAUGCGUAGAUAUUAGGAGGAACACCAGUGGCGAAGGCGGCCUGCUGGACUGUAACUGACGUUGAGGCUCGAAAGCGUGGGGAGCAAACAGGAUUAGAUACCCCAGUAGUC